rnacentral:rRNA from 1 species
GACGAACCGUGCGAACGUUGUUCGGAAUCACUGGCUUAAAGGGCGCGUAGGCGGCCUGCCAAGUCAGGGGUGAAAGCCCCCAGCUCAACUGGGGAAGUGCCUUUGAUACUGGCGGGCUCGAGCGAGGUAGGGGUCGUGGGAACUCCGGUGGAGCGGUGAAAUGCGUUGAUAUCGGAAGGAACGCCGGUGGCGAAAGCGCACGACUGGACCUCUCCUGACGCUG